ACAGGGUAAUCAUGAGUCUAUAUCAAGCUUUUGUACUUGUUUGAGAACUGACGAAUGGGAUGGCCAUAAUGCAAGAGGGGAAAGUAGGGUAAGAAAGGAGUGAUGGUAAAGGUUCAGAUUCAGUCAGGUCAUCAUACAUGAGUAUACACUGCAAGCAUUUUGAUCUUGGAAAGUUACAUACAAGAAAUUCCUAAGUUAUACCUAAUCAUGUAUCUGAUUGGAAAAACUUUCUGGGGGAAACAAAGAAGUCUUGUUUAGUUAAAAAUGUAGCAUACCGUUGACAGAAGUUACUUCACAAUUUAUAAACAUGUUGUUAGAAGUCUAACUGUAUUAGAAGUCUAGUCUAAACUGUAUUAGGAGUAGGCUAGG
rnacentral:lncRNA from 1 species